rnacentral:rRNA from 1 species
CCUACGGGAGGCAGCAGUGAGGAAUAUUGGUCAAUGGGCGGGAGCCUGAACCAGCCAAGUCGCGUGAGGGAAGACGGUCCUAUGGAUUGUAAACCUCUUUAGGCGGGGAGCAAUGCCGGGCACGCGUGCCCGGAGGGAGAGUACCCGCAGAAUAAGCAUCGGCUAACUCCGUGCCAGCAGCCGCGGUAAUCGGGAGGAUGCGAGCGUGAUCCGGAUUUAUUGGGUUAAAGGGGUGCGCAGGCGGUUUGUUAAGUCGGCGGGAAAAGCCCGGGGCUCAACCCCGGCCCGCCGUUGAAACUGGCAGUCUCGAGUUGGAGAGAGGUAUGCGGAAUGCGCGGUGUAGCGGUGAAAUGCAUAGAUAUCGCGCAGAACUCCGAUUGCGAAGGCAGCAUGCCGGCUCCACACUGACGCUGAGGCACGAAAGCGUGGGUAUCGAACAGGAUUAGAUACCCCGGUAGUC